CACAGACAAGCACAAAGCUCUGCCAUGUGCAGACACGACACGCUGUCAAGCUCUUCUGCAACCAAGGAAGUCGCUUUUUCCGUAUUCUCAGAAUUCAAUGUAGACUACAGCAGGAGGAAGGAUGUGGAGCAAUAGACAGUUUGCGUGAGACGUCAAGUGAGGAGUUCAGUGGAAAUCGGUAUGGUAUAGCGUUCUGAGCCAACAAAUGUCUUUGUUAGAGCUUGAACAUACAUACAGCAUUCAGAAGCUCAGAGAUGUGCAGCGCUGCAGGAACAAGACGUCGCAACACUGGAUGGCACACUGAGAUGAAACACCAUCAGUUUCACUUUUUCGGAACAGCUCUGUCAAAAAGAGAGAAAGAAAAAAAGAGAAAAAACCCAGAGAACAGCCACAGAAGAAUAUGUGAGACUUCAAUAGCUGUUAAUUAUUUAAAACUACAUUCAUUGCAUGAUUAUAGGAUGUUCUGUCGACUACACUGCUACUAUUACUUUUUUUUUGUAUCUAAUGGAGAAAUGUAUAUGUGCUGGAUAUGAUCGAAGAUUGCACUGAUGUCAUUUGCUCACUCAGUACUCAGUGUAGGGUCUGUCUUAUAUCAAAAUGCAGCUACAUCUGAUUACUGGGUCAGUAAAGAUUCCACACGCUUCAAUCCAAAGUUCUUCAAGAAAACUAGAAAUUAUAUUUUGUAUCUAUGAGUUUCUAUUUCUUUCUUUCUUUCGUUCUUUUUUUUUUUUUUUUUUUUUUUAAACGCAUUUCAUAAGCACUGGAAGAUGAAUGGGGUGGCCAGGACUGCUUUUGUAAAAUUAUUAUGCUUUAUAAUCCACGAUGUAAUACACAGUUCAUGUAACAAAAUAAAAUUUUGUCAAAAACAA